rnacentral:rRNA from 1 species
GUGGGGAAUUUUGGACAAUGGGCGAAAGCCUGAUCCAGCAAUGCCGCGUGCAGGAUGAAGGCCCUCGGGUUGUAAACUGCUUUUGUACGAAACGAAAAGCCUGGGGCUAAUAUCCCCGGGUCAUGACGGUACCGUAAGAAUAAACACCGGCUAACUACGUGCCAGCAGCCGCGGUAAUACGUAGGGUGCAAGCGUUAAUCGGAAUUACUGGGCGUAAAGCGUGCGCAGGCGGUUUUGUAAGACAGUGGUGAAAUCCCCGGGCUCAACCUGGGAACUGCCAUUGUGACUGCAAGGCUAGAGUGCGGCAGAGGGGGAUGGAAUUCCGCGUGUAGCAGUGAAAUGCGUAGAUAUGCGGAGGAACACCGAUGGCGAAGGCAAUCCCCUGGGCCUGCACUGACGCUCAUGCACGAAAGCGUGGGGAGCAAACAGGAUUAGAUACCCGUGUAGUCC